rnacentral:rRNA from 1 species
GUCCACGCCGUAAACGAUGGAUACUAGCUGUUGGGCGCAAGUUCAGUGGCUAAGCGAAAGUGAUAAGUAUCCCACCUGGGGAGUACGUUCGCAAGAAUGAAACUCAAAAGGAAUUGACGGGGGCCCGCACAAGCGGUGGAGCAUGUGGUUUAAUUCGAUGAUACGCGAGGAACCUUACCAAGGCUUAAAUGUAGAUUGACCGGUUUGGAAACAGACCUUUCGCAAGACAAUUUACAAGGUGCUGCAUGGUUGUCGU